rnacentral:tRNA from 1 species
GGACGGACAGUGGCUCAGUGACAGAAGAGUCUGCUUAGCAUGCAGAAGGUCGCAGGUUCAAUCCCGGCAUCUCCCAUUCA